GACAGAGGAUGCAAGCGUUAUCCGGAAUGAUUGGGCGUAAAGCGUCUGUAGGUGGCUUUUUAAGUCUGCCGUCAAAUCCCAGGGCUUAACCCUGGACAGGCGGUGGAAACUACCAAGCUGGAGUACGGUAGGGGCAGGGGGAAUUUCCGGUGGAGCGGUGAAAUGCGUAGAGAUCGGAAAGAACACCAACGGCGAAAGCACUCUGCUGGGCUGACACUGACACUGAGAGACGAAAGCUAGGGGAGCGAAUGGG
rnacentral:rRNA from 1 species